rnacentral:lncRNA from 1 species
GCUAAUUGCCGAGGUCCUCUUCUAGGAUUGGUUGUCCACUCAUAACCAUAAGAUAAUUAAAACGGGGGGGGGCAGGGUAAAAAAAAAACCCUUUUAUCAGCCAUAGGUUAAUGCAAGUGUUUAACAGAUGCUUCGCUAUUAAAAUAUUUCCCCCCAAUACUGAAGAAUCUUAAACCAGCAACCCUAACAGAGAUUGCGAAGAUUUUCAAAGUGGGGCACCUCGAUUUCUCGAAUCUGUGGUGUGGCGAAUAUCCGUGUUCCUCCUGCUUAACUAGCCUGUUUGAAGGCACAGUUCAUUCUCGAGCAAUUCGUCACCUCCUGGGGGUCUUCUCUUCCCGUCUACAGGAGAGUGUGACUUCAGAAAGAACUUCGGAUUGGCCAAGGUCUGAUUCUAUUUAUUCUAAAGACAGAGUUGGAGAUGGGCUACCAUUGGUGUUGAUUGAGAUGACAAGCAGUCACCUGAGCCCAUACAGCUGGGUUCACAGAUGUGGCUAGUCUUGCUAGCCAGCUCGCACUGUGGACAUUCUAGGGAACUGACUGCAGUCCUCAUGCUUGGAGUCAAACACUUUAACCACUGCACACGUUUAUGUAAUAGGAUUGACAUAUGAGAAUCAGAGAAAUGAAUGAAAGAUUAGAGUGGGAGAAAGUGCUUGCUGCCAAGCUUGAUGACCUAAAUUGAAUACCUGGAACCUACACGACAGAAAGAGAGAGCUGACUGCUGAAAGAUGUCCUCAGAUCUUCACAUGUGCACAGUGGCACCUAUCCAACCAUGCACAUAGUAUAUUAAAAAUUAUUUUUUAAAAAAUCCA